rnacentral:rRNA from 1 species
CCCCUAGAUGUUCUGGGCCGCACGCGCGCUACACUGAACAGUUCAACAAGUCUUAACCUUGGCCGAUAGGUCUGGGUAAUCUUUGAACGCUGUUCGUGAUUGGGAUAGACCUUUGCAAUUAUGGGUCUUCAACGAGGAAUGCCUAGUAAGCGCAAGUCAUCAGCUUGCGUUGAUUACGUCCCUGCCCUUUGUACACACCGCCCGUCGCUCCUACCGAUUGAAUGGUCCGGUGAAGCGCUCGGACCGCGGCCUCUUGACGGUUCGCUGUCGAUUGGCUGUGGGAAGUUCGUUAAACCUUAUCAUUUAGAGGAAGGAGAAGUCGUAACA